CUGUAAUCUUGUAAGUAAUAAGUAAUUUAUGGUGAAUAGACUGCCCAUUACAAAAAUAGACAGCACAAAACUUUUCAAAGAAGUUAAUACAAAUAAUGCAAAUAACCAUAUCCAGGGGAGGAAGAAAAUAAUGUGACAAGCUCACACAUUAGAGUUCUUUUUGUUUAUAGAAUGUUUCCAAGUUAAGAAAUUCUUAGUGAAAAUAAAUCAUGUCAUUACUUAAGAGGAGGUGCUUCAGUACACACUACUCCAUGCCUUCUCACGUAUCAGCAGAACUCAGAGACAGUUCACCGCAGUAUAACUCUGUCUGGCACUUUUGCAAAUUCCUGAGAUUGAGCUUCUACAGAACUGCUAUUGAAUCAUGUCAAUAUUUAAUCAGCACCUAAAGACUGCUGGAAAUAAAUAUUUAGAGACAGUGCUUCUAUUUUAUUGUUUCAGUGCACUGAAGAAGUAGGGAAGAAUGCACUUCUGCAUCACCCUUUGAUUUGAUGCAAUUUAAAUUCUCAGUGCUUAUUCUUGCAAGUGAGGAAGAGAUUAAGAACUGGACUCCAAGAUUUUACAAGCUGUAAUGAAGUGACUAAGUGAAGAAUUUCAUUUUUCAAUCUUUUAUUCAGGCAAACGUCUGUUAAAGUCACUGGUAUCUGCAGCACAGAUCUCUUAAAUAUCUCUUAAGAUGUAGGUGGCUAACUAGCAAUUUGGAAAGAAGCCAGUUAAGAUGAAGAAUGGAAAAGAAAACUCAAGAGAUCCUGAUUUACAGUUCUUUAAUCUGUCUCCCAGUAUUGCAACGACAAAUAUUAAUGACAAUGUAGAAAUAAACAAGGACAACGAAGGGCACGCAAAGAAGAACUGCAGAAGGGUCAGCCUCAGUCAGAAGGAUAAAGUUCGUGUCAGUGCCAACGGCAGAAGAAUUCAGGAAGCCAACAAUAAAUGGAAACAAUGUGAGAAGAGCAGGUGUGUUUUCACUCAGAGGAAGCAGCUACGGAUAUGAAAAUGACUUAGCAGCUGGUGAAUAAGGAGACUGAAGCUGUGCCAGACAAACUUUACAGAUAAGGCUGUGUUCAAACAAGCGCAGCGCCAGAACACCAAAUCUACACAGGAUAUGACUUGAAGCUUUCUCUUCUUGAAGUUGGUAAAGAUUUACCACAGAAAUUCAGCAGGAUGAUUUAUCUUCGGUGUAUGAGGAUAUCAACAAAUUUUAGUUAAAACUUGAGAGGAAUGAUUGUUUGAUGACUGCUCAUACCUUUCUUGUUUCACCUGGUGAUAGACUUUCAGUGCAGUGGUACACAGUAAGAUUUACAGGAACCCUCAACUGAGCACCUUAUUUUCUCUUGCACACUCUGAGUAAUCAAGCUCAGAACCACUAAAUUCUCAGUGAGCGAUGAAGAAAGGCAUGCUGUCAAAGUCACAAAGCUAUCUUUUCAUUUAUAAAACAAUUUAAAAUAAAACAGGAGCUGGAACAACUAUAUCAACAAGAGAAAGGCUGAAGAGAUGAAUCACUCCAAAAUAUUUUUUCAGUGUGCAGAGAAACAGAAAUAUUUCUUUUUGAAUUCCAUGAUAUCAUACAAUCAAGCAAUAUUGAGAGUACACCAACCCAAUGCAUUAGGGAAGUUAUAGGUACGUUUUCAGUUGCUAUAUCAUCCUGCAAAAAUAAUUAAAAAGUGGACUGGCAUUUUCCUUAAAAAUAAAAAAUAAAAAAAUAAAAACAAAUUAAAGCAUUUCAGUAGCUUUCCCUACAAUUUUUUCUUUAGGAGGAAGCUUGGAAUGUUUAUGCUAUUGUAUGGAUUUUACGUAUAGUUGAUUAGAUCCAAAACUAAAGAAAACUAGGGAAAAUUAACUUGUAUGCUUGGAGAUUCUGUUCAAAGUUCCUGGAUUAAAUAAGCAGCAUUAAAAUUAUAGAUGUCAUCACCAUUUAAAUAAUGGGGAAAACCUUUCACCGCCACAGGUUUUGAGGUCCUUUUCCUACGAUCUGUUUACAACCCACUGAACCCUGCUGUGUAUUCACAUUGAUCUUUCUUCUGCUAAGCUUUGUGAGUAGUUACAGUGAUAGCUAACAACAAAAGCCAUGAAAUUAUGGAGCUGAUCUGUUGGUCACUGCAGUGUAACUGUAAGCAUAGUCAAAGACAAACUAUGGAAAGCAUCUUUAGAAACCUGCUAUAAUUCAGUGAUCACCACCCGUAAUGAAAAUGCUGAGUCGUGGCCUGAGCCAGUGAUUGAGCACCUGGUGGGAAGGCAGGGCCAACCCAGGGGAGCUCAGGUGCAUGCAAUGCAUUGAGUGACCGGAAGGGGUGGAGCCAGGAUCCAUCUCUUCCCAGAACUCUUUAAAGGGUUGGCAAAGGAAAUGAGGACAUCUUUUGUUGGAGAUCCCUGCAUACCUGAGGCCUUCCAAAGGCAAGCAGCUCUUUUCCUUUGUUUCUGCAUCUGUGGCUGCUGCAUCUGGGCUCAUUCUUGUUUGCUACAGCCAAAGACUUUGCCACCCCACUAUUACUGCGGUACUUUCCAUCCCAUUAUAGCAUUACGCCAUCUAUAAAAGUAUCAAAAUGUUUCAUUUUUCAACUGAAUAUUCUGAAAUAAUAAAAAUAUAUAUUCUAAAUGGAUGUUGCAAGAUCUUUUGGAACUGCUGCAAUUGCAAUGUUCCCUAUCCUUUCACA
rnacentral:lncRNA from 1 species